AAAGAGCGCCAACAGAUAGACGAUCUGCGGAUUCUUAAAAUUAAAGUUAUUACCGUUCAUUAAUUUCCGACCACUGAAUGCGAAUUGAAUUUUAAAGACUACAGUUACAGGUGAGAUUAGACACAAUUCAAUAGAAGUUUUAUUGUUGAAUCAAUAUUGUAAGCUGUCGGCAGUCUACCUCCAGAGUCAAUGUUGGUACAUGAGGCUCGACAUGUCGAAGGAACAUCCUGAUCAGGAUUCAGAAUAUGGUGGGAACUGUUGCCGAAGUUCAAGGAUGUAUCAACAAAGACAGAAUUUCCUUUGCAAAUGCACAAGGGUACAUACCACAGCCACCAGCUUUUCAUCUUGUCACACCGAACUACCAUUCGAAUAUAUCUACUAUUUACUGAAACACUUGAGGAUCUUCAGCAUCAGUCAUCGCCUUCUUGCACCAAAUCAUCCAUAAAUCAUGGAAUCACAAGUUGACAACAUGGGCACUCUUAUAACUUGUGCACUACCUCAAAAUUACCUGAUCCAAAGCAAGAACAGGAAAAGAACAAAAUUCGCAGAAGACGAUAAUUUCACAGCAGACAAUAAUAUAUUGUGUUUGUGUAUCAGGAUUUAGAUACACUAUUACCUGUCUGCUCCACCAACGAAACAGACACGACCAGGUUUCUUGUAAACAAAAACUAAAAAUAAACAUGAAAGGAAUGGUGAUCAGGACUUCAUUACUGACAACAUAAACAUUCUGAAACUAUCGGGAAAUUGUAUCAUCACAGACUGGUUUUAAUGAAUAUAUAAGAGCAUGAAAAACUUUGCAAAAACAUCACAAAGGUAAUUAUAUAAUUGGAUAGAAUAACCGAAGAUUAUACAUGUAUGUCAGUUUGUAACAAGAGAAGGUGCAGUGGCGGCCAUGUACCUAAUUCAAACCUGGACGCACAAGAGGAUCUUCAACAAGAACCGCCUUUUCAUUUUGUCACAUCACAUCACCGUUCUGAUAUCUCCAUCUCUGAAAAAGUCAAUCAUCCAGGCACAGUUUCUGAUUUAGAGAAAUACUAAGUGUACAGAUUAAAAGACAAUGACUUGGGUUUUUUUUUUAUGUGCCAAAAUUGUAAAAUGUUUUUUGCCCAAAAUGCUGAAUUUUAACACACAAAUCACAUAAAGACAGCUUUGUUGAACUUUCCAAAAUUUUGAAACACAAAACCAAAACGUUAUUCAGAAUUUCGUUGAUGGAACAGACAAUGUUAAUAUUCCAAAAUAGAACCAGGAAAUUUUUAUUUUAUUCCGAACAAAAUUGUCUACGUGUAUACCCCUGAAAUGUCUUCAUAUGAACCACGGUACGAAAACCUUUGCAAAACAAUUAUUGACAAUAAUAAUCAAAGUAGGUUACAAUUAGAUGAAGUUACCAUGGAUUAUAAAAUUAUAUCAAUUUGUGACAAGAUGUAGGUGGCGAUGAUGGACCUCGUGCAUUUACUCAUUAUAAACCUGGAGGAGAGGUUGGAUACUUUGAAGAAACUCGCAUCAGAAAACAGACACCCCCUGGACAAGAACUACGACUGUAUAGAAAAUCAAGGAAAUAGAUUCCGACAUCCAACCGACACCUAACAAAGUCAUGACAGAGUUUACUCCGGGUAUGGACAGACAAAAUCACAAGAAGCAGGCCAUUGGGGAUAUGAAGUUUCCUACUGACCAUCUCCAGGUAGGAUCAGAAAAAGGUGGUCACUCCUACCGAUGUCCAAUAGUCCAACCAAAAACACAGACUACUGUCAGAGACUGGUCAAGCAUCAACUUCUGCACCAUAGCAGCACGAUUCAGGCUCUCUAGAGAGUUGUACUUUAUACAUGUGCUAUUAAGGAUGAUUCAUUCAAGAUGAGCGUCUGGUCACUGUCUCGUACAAAUUUCUCCAUAGGAUACCUGCGUGGUCGAGUGAAACUUAGAAUCUGGACAGCAAUGACUCAUUGCACUCAGCGAUACCACAUUCCACAUUCAAAUAUAAACUCUUACAGGUAUA